CAAACUGUAGCUUAAAUAAAGCAUCUCGCUUACACCGAGAAAAUGCCUGAUAAUCUCGAGCCAUUUUGA
rnacentral:tRNA from 1 species